rnacentral:lncRNA from 1 species
AUAUAUAUAUAUAUAUAUAUAGAGAGAGAGAGAGAGAGAGAGAGAGAGUGUAGAGCUACUAUGCUAUGGGAAGUAUAAAGUGGUUCGUGCUUUCGAUAUUUUGGCCCUUAGAUCAACCUAAUUGAUCAUUUCUAACCAUUGGAUUAAUAUUAUUGACCACUCAACCCUAGGGGACCUCGAUCAUUCCAACCGUAGAAUUUUUAUCCAAAGACUAAAAAAUCGGAAGCACCAACUAUUUUAUGUUUCCGAUAGUAUAGUAGCUCUACACUAACUAU